rnacentral:rRNA from 1 species
UACGGGGGGGGCAAGCGUUGUUCGGAAUUACUGGGCGUAAAGGGCGCGUAGGCGGCCUUCUAAGUCGGACGUGAAAUCCCUCGGCCUUAACCGAGGAACUGCGUCCGAUACUGAAAGGCUUGAAUCCGGGAGAGGGAUGUGGAAUUCCAGGUGUAGCGGUGAAAUGCGUAGAUAUCUGGAGGAACACCGGUGGCGAAGGCGGCAUCCUGGACCGGCAUUGACGCUGAGGCGCGAAAGCUAGGGGAG